AGUGAACGCUGGCGGUAGGCCUAACACAUGCAAGUCGAACGGCAGCACAGUAAGAGCUUGCUCUUACGGGUGGCGAGUGGCGGACGGGUGAGGAAUACAUCGGAAUCUACUUUUUCGUGGGGGAUAACGUAGGGAAACUUACGCUAAUACCGCAUACGACCUACGGGUGAAAGCAGGGGAUCUUCGGACCUUGCGCGAUUGAAUGAGCCGAUGUCGGAUUAGCUAGUUGGCGGGGUAAAGGCCCACCAAGGCGACGAUCCGUAGCUGGUCUGAGAGGAUGAUCACCCACACUGGAACUGAGACACGGUCCAGACCCCUACGGGAGGCAGCGGUGGGGAAUAUUGGAAAAGGGGCGCAAGCCUGACCCAGCCAUACCGCGUGGGUGAAGAAGGCCUUCGGGUUGUAAAGCCCUUUUGUUGGGAAAAAAAAGCAGCAGGUUAAUACCCCGCUGUUUUGACGGUACCCAAAAAAUAAGCACCGGCUAACUUCGU
rnacentral:rRNA from 1 species